UUAUUGUGCAUUAUGUCUUGGUGGUGAGCAUUCUGGCAAAAGUAAAGAGAUAGUACCUGAGGAUCAAGAAUCGAAGUACUCGAAACUCGAUUCCCAUUACAGCUCAGGAUAGUCGGUAGAUAGCUCAUUUCAUUGAGGGUUAUAGUUGGAUUUGCAUCUUCAAAAACUAUUCGGAGGCAAUUGGGACCAAGAUUGGGUGUCCACACAUGCUUGUAUUCUUGGUAGGUACUAUGGCAUCUCAGUAGCGGUACCUUUACUUAAAGUCACUCCGCUGACUGUUGAGAGUCUUUGUCCGUGUACACUAAUGUAAUGUAAACUACUAGGAGUCAUGUUAUAAAUGAAGUAUGUAACAUUGGAUUAAUGAUGAUGAUGCCCUUAUGAGACGAUAAUGAAUGACAGUACUUUGAGAUAAUACAAAUAUGAAUAUUCGAUUACU